CUCUGAGUCGCCGCUUUGCCCUGGGGCGGGUGCGAAGACUUUAUAAUCCCAAUCUGGGGAGCCGCUGAUUGGCUUCUCCAGAAACCCGACACCCAAUGGGAGUGCGAAGCGGGCCGCGUCAGGAGUCUCCAGGCAGGAGGACCUGACAGGGGUUGUGAGAGGAAGAAGUGAAACCCAAGAGAUGAGGACUCCUGGGUACUGGACUUCACCUCCCCAGGCACCGCCCUGGGUCUGAGAUCCUGAGAGGCAGGUCCAGGGACAUGGGAAUUCUCUGGGAGCCCUCACCUAAGGCACGGCGCGCUCUUUGUCACACUGUCUCCCUGAGUCGUAGCCCAGGACCUGUAAAUGUUUGUCAGUAGUGAGAAGCUGUCAAGUUUAUUGGUGGAUCACAAGUUCUCCAAAAUUCUGAUUUUCUCUUGAGAGCUGACAUUUGAUCAAGGCAACAAGUCCUCUCAGCUGUCAUAUGUGAGCUGAUUGUCAUGAAAGGGCAUUGUGACUGCUCUUGAGAGCAUCUCCCAAGAUAUUCACGUGACCAUAUGGUGGCUUGGAAAGAUGGCGGAAAGAGUGUUUCUAGUUUUCUAUGCAAGUAAGUAGUGGUGAAGAAUAACAGCUAUUGCAGUUUGCACCCAUCA